UCCAUGCCACUCGCUCGCGAAAAUGAGAAAACCUCCAUGGCUCUUCUGGUCCGUACUCUUCAGAAAACUCGCAUUUUCUCCUUCUCAUUCUCCAUUUCUUUCCUCAAGAUCACCACUUUCUUGGGCUCGAUCCUCGGAAGAGCUAAGAAGAUCAAUCCUUGCCGAAUCAAGCAUGGUUCGAAACCAUCGAGCAGAGGCUUUAGGGAUCCUUGUGAGAUUCUUCUUAUAGUCGACAUAGUAGAUCCCGAACCGGACUGUGUAUCCCGAGUUCCAUUCCCAGUUGUCUAGCAAUGACCACACGAAGUAUCCUCUUACAUCGCAACCAUCGUCCCUGCCCAAAAAAACAGUUAAGACUUCGUUGUUUUUGCAGGUUGGAAGUUUGGUUUCCACUGUUUUACCUUAUGGCAGCUGAUAAGUUGGAGAGGUGGGUUUCCAUACAUGUCUUUAAGAUACACUGCCAGUUUCCUGAUUCCCCAUGGGACAAUGUGUAGCCAGCUUGACCCAGCCUGGAUUCCAAUUGUGGUAGGCAGCAGCAUGAGACAAGAGAAUGUUGUGAGCUACAACAUAUGGUUCGACCGAUGACUUCCCCUUCUUACAGAACCAAUGUCCCAGAAGUGAGCACCUCCCUGGAGCUUGAAUUCCCGUGUCAUAGCCUUGGAUCGAUAACCCGCGUGGCUCAUUGAAAGUGAUCCAGUACUUCACUCUAUCUCCAAAAGCUUUGAAACAGGUGAAUGCAUAAUGCUCGAAAUCAUCCCUGCACAAUUUUGUUAUUAGAUUUUUUUCUUUCUAAUCAUCUCAACAUAUCAAGAUUUUGAUCCAAAGUUCAUAUACAUACACGACAUCUCUGCUUAGCCAUCCUUCAUAUCUGUCCUCUAAAGCUUGUGGAAGAUCCCAGUGAUACAAUGUCACGUAAGGUUUGAUUCCUUUGGCUAAAAGAGCAUCUAUGAGGCUGUUAUAGUACUUGACUCCCUCUGGGUUUGCUUCCCCUGUUCCAUCUGUUAAACCUCAAGUUUAACAAAACCCGUCUGAAACACAAAACAUUACGCUUAUGACAGCUAAAUGAAUCAAACUUACUAGGGAAUAUUCUUGACCAAGAUAUAGAGAAUCUGUAAGCAUCCAUUCUCAGAUCUUUCAUCAGGUCUAUAUCACUCUGUGAAAGCAAAAAUUCAGAGAAAGUUAAAGGUUCUUGCUACUUAGAUUCUCUCAUUUAUGACCUGUAUCUCAGUUUUGUUUGGACGAGGUUGCUCUAUGGAGAAGCAAACCCUACUUUUAUCUUCAAGCGUAAGUCAACCAAUGUUUCAUUGUUAGAAGAAGAAGAAUGUCACCUGGUAAGCUGAAGAAGCUGUUCCGAACACAAACCCAUCUGGAAAAUUCGCUCUGCUGAUAGAGUCUGAUGAAACUUGAUGAAGGGACGCGAAGAAGACGACGAUGACGAACAGAACCAGAACCAUGACGAGUUUCGUGAUAGAGAGAGGAAGAGAGAGAGAGCUAGAGAGGGCGAGAGAGAGAGAGGGAACUUUUUGUCUGGUCGAAUGAAAGAUUUGGAGGCAAGAAAUAGAAAUGGAGAUUAUGUGUUUUUAAUUCGUAAAGCUGAAGGAGAAAGGGGAAGAGUGUAAAGCAAAAGCUCUCUUAAGGCUCUUCUUUGGUGUUGACAUUUGUUUCUCUCUUCUUAAUACUGUACACGUUUCUUUUACUUCUUCUGCCAAAAACUAUAAGUUUACUCUAAGAAGAAUAAAAAUUUGUC